AUGUCAAAAUCUAGCCUGAAUCUAAUAUAUCAGCAAAGACAACUCUAUUUAACAGUUGGCAUUGCUUUAAAACUCACCCACUUUUCACCAUUUUUCCCCCUUCUUUUUCCAGGAGCAACUCUUGCAGGAUGGGAAAUCCCUCACUGUGUUCAUAGUUGUUUGACUGUCUCACACAAUGUUCAGUUUGAAACAUCUCAGACCUGAUGUACUUCUUGCCAUUCAGAGGUAGGUUAUUCUAGGAAACUGUUUAUGAGAGGCAGCAGAAACCUCCCACAGGGACCAAACCACAGUGUUUGUUACUGUGUUGUGAGGGGGAUGAGGGGUGUCUAUUUUGAGAUUUUUGUCAUGCUUACAAAGAACAUCUUUUAGAGGAUAGCCUAAGUGGCUGUGAAGAUUGGGAUUCUGGCAUGCAAAUACAUCCUUAAGUUGUAAUGGUGCAUCCUAGCUGAAGAGUGAUUCCUUUGGAAAAGGAAUUGUAUCAUCAAAAAUGGACGUGAGAGUUCAGGCUAUAUUAAGGCUCUUCCAAUAAUCUAAAUAUUUGUAUUCCUUUGAGAAUAAACCUGAAAGUGUAACACUUGGUAGAACUGUA
rnacentral:lncRNA from 1 species